GAAAUCACUUGAACUGAGUAAUUUGAGAUUACAUCCCAGGUUACCUGAGUCAGGGGAGAGCCACACCCUGGUGUAAACAGACCAGUGGGAAGCCAUGGUAUAGUGGUUUCUUCCCUGUCCCAUGGAAGCCAAUGGCCCUACAGGAAAAGAACAUUGAAACUUCACUCCUGAGGGUUCGCAGGGCUUUUUCUGAGCCUCUGUAUUCCCCAGAUGCACGCCAUCCUUCGUCUAUAUUAAGCAGAAGUAGAUAAUGCAGCCCGUUUGCGGCUCCUGUGUGUGUAAAUAUUGUGAUUCCGGUGUACAGUGAUGGCUGCCGAGCAACAGGCUUCUCUUUGACUUCUGCUUACAAUCUCCUGGCUGACUGAAUUUUGUGACAGUAGCUGAUGUGGCGUAGCAUCAACAAGCCAGCGCAGUCUUGGGAUGGGAAUGCAAGUGAUUUCCUUUCUCAAUCAAGUAUUGUUGGAUCUGUCCUGAGCAGAGAACGGGAAGAGACAGAGUGGCUGUUGACAAGGACCGCCCGUAUGAAAAUGAACUGUUUUGGUUUUGAGAGAAGGUCCUGUUCUGUAGCCCAGACCGGUCUUGAACUUGUUGUAUAGGCUAAACUGACUUUGGAUUGGUGGUGGUCUUCUUGCCAUCCUCCAACUGCUGACAUUCCAAGCAAGUGUUCCCAUCAUCUGCCAUGCCAGAUAAAAUCCCCUGUGCAGUGCUGGGAUCACUCCAGGACGAGAAGAAGAUGGAGCAGGUUGUGCCUGGGGCUGGAUUCUAAGCACUGACUAGGGAAGAUUGUAAGGAACCUAAAGUGGAUAAGGGAGGACUGCAGUAAGGGACUUGUCACCUGUGUAUAUUUAAUCAUUUUGCCCUGGCUCAGCAAGUCAUCCCUCCGUCCCCAUCCGAUCCUCUGGUUUGGGGCAUUGCCUUAUGAAGGUGUACGGUUUCACGCAUCACAACUCUCCUCCAUGACAAUAAAUGCUUUAAAACAUGGACUGCCUCUUCUCAUCAGGAUCCGCAGGGCUGGAGCAAUGGAGCAGGUCUUCCUCUAAAGAGCUGUGUCUAAUCUCACACAGGACGACUCCUUGUGCUCUCAGCCACAGUUUCCAUCGAGUCAAGCUGUCUGCCCAAGCAAGCCAAAGACUCUCGUCCCCGUGGGACACAGCCCGACGCCCACAGGGUGCGCAGUCAAAACUUCCUGCAACCCGCCUCACCUAGUAGCCCAAGCCCUGGGCCAGACGCAGGACACCAUUUUAACCCACUGAAAUAUGAAUUUCGGGCUGUUUGGACAUCUUUAGUUUCUCCCUACAGCUCAUCAGCCAGGCUAGGCCUAAAGGUGCUGGCUCCCCACAUUGCCUGAACUGUUCAUUUAUUCACCGUACCAACUCCCAUUGAGUGGCUUGAAGAGAUGAAUAUGAUCAUGUCCUUCGCCUGAGAAGCAAUGGACAGACGGGAACAAGGAUGUGAAAAGGCAGAGAGGUUGGGGCUGAAUCUGUGUCCUCCUGUGGGAGGAGACAGAGGUGUUGGCCCUGUGAGCACACUUCCUUCAGCACUUCCAAUCAUUUGUUUGGAACACAUCUGAGUUCCUACCCUCAGGAGCAAGGGCUCAAAUUCUAGGAAGGCUCACAAAUCCAGCCUUGCCCUAGGCUCAGGAAGCACAGAUCACAUCCCUGGCAUGGGACUCUUCCUGCUUCGAGCUCAGGGCUUAGUCCAACACCACAAGGCAGAUUUUGCAGCCAGAAACAGAUAUAAAUUUGGCUGAGCAGAGCCAGUGGAAGCAAAAUAGAUUCUGUAAUGUACAGAAUAUGCAGCAGAUGGCUCUGCUUCCUACCAGCCCUGUAAGACUGAUUAACACAGCCCACUGCCCUCCAUCACCACCACCAUCCUUAUUACUACCAGCAUCAGCACCAGCACCAGCACAUCGUAUUAAAA
rnacentral:lncRNA from 1 species